CUACGGGUUGCUGCAGUGGGGAAUAUUGCGCAAUGGGGGGAACCCUGACGCAGCAACGCCGUGUGAGGGAUGAAGGCUUUCGGGUCGUAAACCUCUGUCAGGCAGGACGAAACAUCUAAACAUGAAUAAUGUUUAGAUCUGACGGUACUGCCAGAGGAAGUCCCGGCUAACUCCGUGCCAGCAGCCGCGGUAAUACGGGAGGGGACAAACGUGGUGCGGAAUUAUUGGGCGUAAAGAGCGCGUAGGUGGUCAGAAAAGUCAGACGUGAAAUCCCUCUGCUCAACAGAGGAAGGGCGUUUGAAACUCUCUGGCGUGAGUGUGGGAGAGGAGAGUGGAAUUCCCAGUGUAGCGGUGAAAUGCGUAGAUAUUGGGAAGAACACCAGUGGCGUAGGCGGCUCUCUGGCCCAUUACUGACACUGAGGCGCGAAAGCUAGGGGAGCAAACGGGAUUAGAUACCCCGGUAGUC
rnacentral:rRNA from 1 species